GGCUCAGAACGAACGCUGGCGGCGCGUCUUAAGCAUGCAAGUCGAGCGGGAUUGAGUAGCUUGCUAUCAUGAGAGCGGCGGACUGGUGAGUAACGCGUGGGUGACGUACCCUUAGACGGGGAUAGCUCCUAGAAAUAGGAGGUAAUACCGGAUACGAUAGUGAGUGUCAGAGGCUCAUUAUGAAAGGUUCUUUUGAACCGCUGAAGGAGCGGCCCGCGUACUAUUAGCUGGUUGGUGAGGUAACGGCCCACCAAGGCGACGAUAGUUAUCCGGCCUGAGAGGGUGAACGGACACAUUGGGACUGAGAUACGGCCCAGACUCCUACGGGAGGCAGCAGCUAAGAAUAUUCCGCAAUGGACGAAAGUCUGACGGAGCGACGCCGCGUGGAUGAUGAAAGGCCGGAAGGUUGUAAAAUCCUUUUAGAUAUGAGGAAUAAGCAGGGUGAGAGAAACGCCCUGUGGUGACUGUAGUAUCAGAAUAAGGGGCGGCUAAUUACGUGCCAGCAGCCGC
rnacentral:rRNA from 1 species